rnacentral:rRNA from 1 species
UACGUAGGGGGCAAGCGUUGUCCGGAUUUAUUGGGCGUAAAGAGCGUGUAGGCGGCCAGACAGGUCAGCUGUGAAAACUCGAGGCUCAACCUCGAGACGUCGGUUGAAACCGUCUGGCUAGAGUCCGGAAGAGGAGAGUGGAAUUCCCGGUGUAGCGGUGAAAUGCGUAGAUAUCAGGAGGAACACCUGUGGCGAAAGCGGCUCACUGGACCACAACUGACGCUGAUGCACGAAAGCUAGGGGAGCAAACAGG